CCGAGUUAGGGUUCGUCCAACGAGCCCGUCCUCACGGACCGCCGGAGGGAUCUUUACUGGCCCUCUGGUCCGCGCUCGUCGGUAGCCCAACCUUUAAAAUCUUUAACUAAACGUGCCUUAAUCUAAGUACAAUUAUUAAAUAAAAGCA
rnacentral:misc_RNA from 1 species